AGGGCAUCCAGAAGGUUAUCGGCCAUUUUGUAGACGUACUCAUCCGACUUGGACAGAAACUCUGACAAGCUGCCGACAACACGUAUUGAUCUCAUGAACGGGGGACAAGAACAGCUAUGGAAUAGAGCAGGAAGCGUGAACUUGUGUUAAACUUUACAAGUUGGACUUUAGUGUCAUAACUGACCUGUCCGAGCCCUGGAGGCUGGACUCGUCCCCGUAGAGGCUGUAGAUGAGGUCUGAGUCGUCCUUACUAACAUUGGAGAAGCUGGAGUCGUAGGCGGGCGCGUAAGACGUGAAUGGCCCGUAGUUCAUGUAGCACACUGCGAAGCGGACGUCGUGUGUCAGCGUCAGUAGAGAACUUGACUUUUUAUUUUUAAUAACCUGGUGUGAUGCGGUUUCUCUUGUCCUCCCGGAAGCCCUGGAGGCAGUUAACGCCGCUUUGCAGACGGGUGGACAUCAUGCCCAGUUUGACGGGGCAAUAUCCCGCCUCUGUGGAAGCAAUCGUGAGGCAAAGACAAAAGUUUUGUAACGAUCUGCUUCAACGUGUUUUUCCAUCUCUCAAUGCUGUAGCACCACCGCUGUUGUUUUUGUUGCCUUUACCUCCAGCAGAAGGAUCGGCUGGGUUGACAAAAGCCAGAGUGGUGGAGCCAUCACACUGCCUCUGCCUGCUUAAUUCCAACUGAGAAAGAGGGGGGGAAAAAAAUGAAGCAAUUGAGACAGACCUCCA